UACGAAGGUGGCAAGCGUUACUCGGAAUUACUAGGCGUAAAGGGCAGGUAGGUGGUCUGAUAAGUCUGUUGUGGAAGCUCCCGGCUCAACUGGGAGAGGUCAACGGAAACUGUCAGGCUUGAGUAUAGGAGAGGUUACUGGAAUUCCCGGUGUAGCGGUGAAAUGCGCAGAUAUCGGGAGGAACACCAAUGGCGAAAGCAGGUAACUGGACUAUUACUGACACUCAGCUGCGAAAGCUAGGGGAGCAAACAGG
rnacentral:rRNA from 1 species